GGUAACGUUGUUGUGACGCUAUGUUGUUGCGCUAGAACUGCACGACCCAACAAGAAGCCUGUGGGUGGUGGUCGAUUCGUUCAGCCUUUUUACAGUAAAAGCAACUGAACUAACUAGCACGCUAAUUUGGAUUAGCCCUACCCAAAUCAGUUAAUUAAGGCCAGAUUUGUAGAGGCCAGACUGGCUAUGUCUGAGCACUAAGGCACAGCAGAGCAUCCCAACUGGACCACUACAAUGCAGUGAACCAAAUGGGUCGUUGUGUCUUUCUGUUCCUGCUGCUACAGCCUG